rnacentral:tRNA from 1 species
UCCCUGGUACCUCAGCUGGUAGAGAAUCUGCCUAUAAUGCAGGAGACCUGGGUUCGAUUCCUGGGUUGGGAA